rnacentral:tmRNA from 1 species
GGGGACGAUAGGAUUCGACGGGACGAUGGGUGGCUAUACUCGCGCGUCGGGACGGUCCGGAAUCCCGAUACCCUUGCGGAUAACCAUCAAAUGCCGAUGAUAACGGCUACGCACUCGCGGCCUAACCAUACGCCGUGAGCGUUCCCUCGAAAUUGCGUCCAUCCGGUUUCGGGAGGAACGUCAGCUAGGAUGGACUGCUCGGUUAGGGCUUCGCUCGGGGCCCGCCGCUAAGAUUCACCGAGCUGGACGGUUUCAGCCUGCCGCGCCGGCACAAGGAACCGUCGAGACUGCAAUAGGCCGGCUACACGCGUAGAAGGUAUGGUGGCCCCGUCGCCGGACCCGGGUUCGAUUCCCGGCGUCUCCACUA